rnacentral:rRNA from 2 species
GUGGUAAUGCCGGAUGCUCCAGUUGAUCGCAUGGUCUUCUGGGAAAGCUUUCGCGGUAUGGGAUGGGGUCGCGUCCUAUCAGCUUGACGGCGGGGUAACGGCCCACCGUGGCUUCGACGGGUAGCCGGCCUGAGAGGGCGACCGGCCACAUUGGGACUGAGAUACGGCCCAGACUCCUACGGGAGGCAGCAGUGGGGAAUAUUGCACAAUGGGCGCAAGCCUGAUGCAGCGACGCCGCGUGAGGGAUGGAGGCCUUCGGGUUGUAAACCUCUUUUAUCGGGGAGCAAGCGAGAGUGAGUUUACCCGUUGAAUAAGCACCGGCUAACUACGUGCCAGCAGCCGCGGUAAUACGUAGGGUGCAAGCGUUAUCCGGAAUUAUUGGGCGUAAAGGGCUCGUAGGCGGUUCGUCGCGUCCGGUGUGAAAGUCCAUCGCUUAACGGUGGAUCCGCGCCGGGUACGGGCGGGCUUGAGUGCGGUAGGGGAGACUGGAAUUCCCGGUGUAACGGUGGAAUGUGUAGAUAUCGGAAAAAAAACACCA